CACGUAGUUAGCCGGCGCUUCUUCUGCAGGUACCGUCACUCUCGCUUCGUCCCUGCUGAAAGGGGUUUACAACCCGAAGGCCUUCAUCCCCCACGCGGCGUCGCUGCGUCAGGCUUUCGCCCAUUGCGCAAUAUUCCCCACUGCUGCCUCCCGUAGGAGUCUGGGCCGUGUCUCAGUCCCAGUGUGGCCGGUCGCCCUCUCAGGCCGGCUACCCGUCGUCGCCUUGGUGGGCCGUUACCUCACCAACUAGCUGAUAGGCCGCGAGUCCAUCCCUAGCCGAAAAACUUUCCACCAUGGCCGAUGUCGGCCGUGGUCAUAUCCGGUAUUAAUUCCGAUUUCCCGGAGCUAUCCCGAAGCUAAGGGCAGGUUGCUCACGUGUUACUCACCCGUUCGCCGCUCGAGUACCCCGAAGGGCCUUUCCGCUCGACUUGCAUGUGUUAAGCACGCCGCCAGCGUUCGUCCUGAGCCAGGAUCAAACUCU
rnacentral:rRNA from 1 species